GACGAACGCUGGCGGCGUGCUUAACACAUGCAAGUCGAACGGUGAAAGCGGAGCUUGCUCCGCUGGAUCAGUGGCGAACGGGUGAGUAACACGUGGGCAACCUGCCUCUGACUUCGGGAUACCUCCUCGAAAGAGGUGCUAAUACCGGAUACGAAUCCUGCAGGCAUCUGCGGGAUUGGAAAGUUUUCCGGUCAGGGAUGGGCCCGCGGCCUAUCAGCUUGUUGGUGAGGUAGUGGCUCACCAAGGCGACGACGGGUAGCCGGCCUGAGAGGGCGACAGGCAACACUGGGACUGAGACACGGCCCAGACUCCUACGGGAGGCAGCAGUGGGGAAUAUUGCGCAAUGGGCGAAAGCCUGACGCAGCAACGCCGCGUGAGGGAUGACGGCCUUCGGGUUGUAAACCUCUUUCAGCAGGGAAGAAGCGAAAGUGACGGUACCUGCAGAAGAAGCACCGGCUAACUACGUGCCAGCCGCCGCAGUAA
rnacentral:rRNA from 1 species